AGGAGUUCAAGACCAGCCUGGGCAACACAAUCUGAGAGACCUGCUGUGUGACCCUGAGCCCUCGCUGUGCAUCAUCGCUUCCCAGACUCUGUUACUAGUCCAGAUGGCGAGGGCCGAACCAAAACCUAAGCAGAGAGUGAACUGGUUGCAGAAGCUCAUGGGCAGGUCCUCUGCCUAGAAACACAAGGCAAGCAACAUCAGAGACAGAAUCUUGCUAUGUUGUGCGGCAAGCUAGUCUUGAACUCAUGGCCUCAAGUCAUCCUCCUGUG
rnacentral:lncRNA from 1 species